GACGAACGCUGGCGGCGUGCUUAACACAUGCAAGUCGAACGAUGAAGCUGAAGCUUGCUUUGGUGGAUUAGUGGCGAACGGGUGAGUAACACGUGAGUAACCUGCCCUUCACUCUGGGAUAAGCCUUGGAAACGAGGUCUAAUACUGGAUAUGACACAUGGCCUCAUGGUUGUGUGUGGAAAGAUUUUUUGGUGGGGGAUGGACUCGCGGCCUAUCAGCUUGUUGGUGAGGUAAUGGCUCACCAAGGCUUUGACGGGUAGCCGGCCUGAGAGGGUGACCGGCCACACUGGGACUGAGACACGGCCCAGACUCCUACGGGAGGCAGCAGUGGGGAAUAUUGCACAAUGGGCGAAAGCCUGAUGCAGCGACGCCGCGUGAGGGAUGACGGCCUUCGGGUUGUAAACCUCUUUCAGCAGGGACGAAGCUUUUUGUGACGGUACCUGCAGAAGAAGCACCGGCUAACUACGUGCCAGCCGCCGCAGUAAGAC
rnacentral:rRNA from 1 species